UACGGAAGGCAGCAGUGGGGAAUAUUGGCACAAUGGGCGAAAGCCUGAUGCAGCUAUGCCGCGUGUAUGAAGAAGGCCUUAGGGUUGUAAAGUACUUUCAUCGGGGAGGAAAAAACAAAACUAAUAAUUUUAUUUCUUGACGUUACCCGAAAAAGAAGCACCGGCUAACUCCGUGCCAGCAGCCGCGGUAAUACGGAGGGUGCUAGCGUUAAUCAGAAUUACUGGGCGUAAAGAGCACGUAGGUGGUUUUUUUAAGUCAGAUGUGAAAUCCCUGGGCUUAACCUAGGAACUGCAUUUUGAAACUGAAAUACUAGAGUAUCGUAGAGGGAGGUAGAAUUCUAGGUGUAGCGGUGAAAUGCGUAGAUAUCUGGAGGAAUACCUGUGGCGAAAGCGGCCUCCUAAACGAAUACUGACACUGAGGUGCGAAAGCGUGGGGAGCAAACAGGGAUUAGAUACC
rnacentral:rRNA from 1 species